rnacentral:rRNA from 1 species
GACGAACGCUGGCGGCGUGCUUAACACAUGCAAGUCGAACGGUGAAGCGCCUUCCUUUUUGGUGGGUGUGGAUGAGUGGCGAACGGGUGAGUAACACGUGAGUAACCUGCCCCCUUCUUCUGGAUAACCGCAUGAAAGUGUGGCUAAUACGGGAUAUUCUGGGUCUGUCGCAUGAUGGGUCUGGGAAAGAUAUUGUUUCGGUGGGGGAUGGGCUCGCGGCCUAUCAGCUUGUUGGUGGGGUGAUGGCCUACAAAGGCGGUGACGGGUAGCCGGCCUGGUAGGUGCGGCGGUCCCGCAAGGACAGAGACACGGGACAGACUCAUACGGGAGGCAGCUGUGGGGAAUAUUGGACAGUGGGCGCAAGCGUGAUGCAGCGACGCCGCGUGGGGGAAGGGGGCCUGCGGGUUGUAAACCUCUUUCGCCAGUGAAGCAGGCCUGCCUGGUGUGUGGGUGGGUUGACGGUAGCUGGAAAAGAAGCGCCGGCUAACUACGUG